rnacentral:rRNA from 1 species
GCGGAGGGAUCAUUACCGAGUUUACAACUCCCAAACCCCUGUGAACAUACCUAUACGUUGCCUCGGCGGAUCAGCCCGCGCCCCGUAAAACGGGACGGCCCGCCCGAGGACCCCUAAACUCUGUUUUUAGUGGAACUUCUGAGUAAAACAAACAAAUAAAUCAAAACUUUCAACAACGGAUCUCUUGGUUCUGGCAUCGAUGAAGAACGCAGCAAAAUGCGAUAAGUAAUGUGAAUUGCAGAAUUCAGUGAAUCAUCGAAUCUUUGAACGCACAUUGCGCCCGCCAGUAUUCUGGCGGGCAUGCCUGUUCGAGCGUCAUUUCAACCCUCAAGCUCAGCUUGGUGUUGGGACUCGCGGUAACCCGCGUUCCCCAAAUCGAUUGGCGGUCACGUCGAGCUUCCAUAGCGUAGUAAUCAUACACCUCGUUACUGGUAAUCGUCGCGGCCACGCCGUAAAACCCCAACUUCUGAAUGUUGACCUCGGAUCAGGUAGGAAUACCCGCUGAACUUAAGCAUAU